CAGUCGCCGCGGGAAUACAGAGGGUGCGAGCGUUAAUCGGAUUUACUGGGCGUAAAGAGUGCGUAGGCGGCUUCUUAAGUCGGAUGUGAAAUCCCUGAGCUUAACUUAGGAAUUGCAUUCGAUACUGGGAAGCUAGAGUAUGGGAGAGGAUGGUAGAAUUCCAGGUGUAGCGGUGAAAUGCGUAGAGAUCUGGAGGAAUACCGAUGGCGAAGGCAGCCAUCUGGCCUAAUACUGACGCUGAGGUACGAAAGCAUGGGGAGCAAACAGGAUUAGAUACCCGCGUAGUCCCUGUCUCUUAUAC
rnacentral:rRNA from 1 species